UACGUAGGGUCCGAGCGUUGUCCGGAAUUAUUGGGCGUAGAGAGCUCGUAGGCGGUUUGUCGCGUCUGCUGUGAAAUCCCGAGGCUCAACCUCGGGCCUGCAGUGGGUACGGGCAGACUGGAGUGCGGUAGGGGAGAAUGGAAUUCCUGGUGUAGCGGUGGAAUGCGCAGAUAUCAGGAGGAACACCGAUGGCGAAGGCAGUUCUCUGGGCCGUAACUGACGCUGAGGAGCGAAAGCGUGGGGAGCGAACAGG
rnacentral:rRNA from 1 species